rnacentral:rRNA from 1 species
UACGUAGGCAGCGAGCGUUGUUCGGAGUUACUGGGCGUAAAGGGCGCGUAGGCGGUACUUCAAGUCAGGCGUGAAAGCCCCCGGGCUCAACCUGGGAACCGCGCUUGAGACUGGAGAACUAGAGUUCGGGAGAGGAUGGUGGAAUUCCCAGUGUAGAGGUGAAAUUCGUAGAUAUUGGGAAGAACACCGAUGGCGAAGGCAGCCAUCUGGACCGACACUGACGCUGAGGCGCGAAAGCGUGGGGAGCAAACAGG